rnacentral:sRNA from 1 species
AUAAGAACAAUGUUCAGGAUUUGGUUCUCCCCUUCCACCAUGUGGGUCCUGGGAACUGAACUCAGGUGGUCAGGCUUAGCAGCAGGUAGGUGUCUUUCCUCUCUUGGCCAUCUUGUUAGUCUCUGUGUCUAAUGUUUGUAUAUUUAUGUCUUGGUUAUGACUCUCUGCGGAGAAAAUGUCUUAUUGAGGAAUUAUGCCUAUCUCAUGAGACUGAAUGAGUCAAAGGCAGAACGUCUGCUUUCCAGCUUACAGACAUAAAGCCAGUGCAGUGUCACAGCUCUAUCCUUGACCAGACAGACACGGAAGUCUGAAUGAUCAGGCACCAUGUGCAUUCUCAUCCCCUCUGCUACAUGACUGGAAACAUUUGUAGCUACGUGGACUGCCCCAGCUUUGCUUGUUAUGGACAGGAAGAGUGGCUGCCAUCUUCAUUGUCCGUAGGCAAGAGGAAGGAUACAUUGACAAAGGGCAGCUUCAUGGAGAGUCAGUGUGAUUGUUUCAAGAAACAACAUAAGCUUCGCACCAUAGCUGCUCUCUAGAUAGUCCUCAUCUCAGAACUGUCUCUAAGACUACGCCUGCAUUCCCCUAUCCAACAUCACACCAACAUUGAAUGAAUUCAUUUCCAGGUGAGUGACAGCUCACAAUGCUGGUGAAUUAUCUUCACUCCUGUGGAAAGGGGGCUGAGAGGUCUCAGGGUAGGCAACAAGUUAUUUGCAUCAGGUUAUUGGCAUAAACAGAUUUUUAAAGGUCUCCUGAGAUACCUGGUGGGUACUUCUUCCAUGGAUAACUGUUUCUACAGAGUAUCAGAAGACAGCAAAGACAUCCCUCCAAGAAAAGGAGGAGUAACAUUGAAGGCAUUUUGAGUCCAAUCAAAAAGAAUGCUUCAGCUGAAGAGAAAAAUCAGCACAUUUUUAGUAAAUUUCACUUGGUUGUAAUUUUAAAAAUGUAAGAGAGGAUGGUGCCCAGUGGUACCCAAGGCAAUAAGAGAUCCUGAAUUAUUAGACACCUGGCUUGGGAUCUGAGCAGUGCUAUUUCAUGGAUAAUAAUGGUGUGUGUAUAUGUGUGUGGCUUUCAUGGACCAGAUACCUCUUAGUCAGUUUGUCAGCUUUUGGCAAACGCGUAAGUGAAUCCAGCUACCAUUGAUCGAGCCUGAUCUAGCUCAGCUCACCCAUGGAUUCAUGGACUUAAAUCAAACUCAACUCUUAUUUUCCUGGAGACUUACUAGAUGCUAGCUGGCUAGGAAGGGAUGAGGGUAACUGAGACACAUCUCAUUCUCCAAGUGCUUGGCAUAGACUUAAUUUCAAUACAGAAAUGUUAGCACAAGAACAAACAGUAAAUGGUUAUGGAGACAAAGCCUUGGUUGGGGCCAUUUGUAACUCAGAAUCUGUGUGAUCAGUCCAGGCAUGGCACAUAACAAGAGCUUACAUUCAUGAACAGAGCACCCGGUCCCUUUAUAAGAGUGGCCUCAAUACUGUGGAUCAAAGAUGGACGGCUAUGGCUGUCCAUGCAACCUGCCACAGUAUAUAAGCCACUGCUGGCAUCCCAGCAGAGACCUAUCACUUUCCUAGUGUAGAGUAGGCUAGUGAGAGUUGAGUCCUAGGAAGGUAGGCUCUAAGGGUGAGAAGCUGUCUGCAGACUGAAAAUUCAGCUCCAGAACCCUUACUGGGCCCUGAGCUUUGGGUAUGAGGCCUGAGCUCUGGCAGUCUCCAGGACACACCAGCCUUCCCCUGCAUCUCUGACUGAUCAAGGUCAGGUAAUUGCCUGUUUGCCCCAUUUCUACUGUUUAGAUACCAGGACACCUCAAUUUCUCACUCUGUAGUUGAAAAUGAAUAGUCUUGUCUUCCCAGGGAGACCUUAUUUAUCACAAUGGAAAACGGCUCAUCUACCCAAGGUCACCGCUCAAAUUGAAACCUGAAACACAUCUAUAAGUGAGUCGCUGUCUCAGAGCCAAGUCUUCUGACAAGGCCAGGGUGAGUCGUGUUCAUAGAAAGAGCUACUUAUACAGAAGAUACUGUUUUGAUCCGCACCCCUUGCUGGCAAGCUUAACAGGAAGAUUGUUGGAAAAAGCAUAGGGAAAGAAAGGUCUUACUGAAUGCUGGGGGGGAUUCUUUGCUUUUAAAACAGUGUAUGAGUUGCCGACGAGAGCCGCUGAAAGACUAUGGGGCUUUGGAGGAAAUAAAGAGUUAUUUUAGGAAGACAGAAACAAGGACCAAAUGUUGGACUGGGGAAAUUCAUUACAGACAUGUCAUUCAUUAUAAAUGAAGAGAAACACAGCAAUCUCCUAGCACCCAGACCCAACACAGCCAUGUCUGCAAACCCAGCCCACGGAUGCAGAAGGGAUGUGGUUUGAUUUGUUCUGUUUGGUUUUAAGGGGCAGGAUUUGCCCUCACUGUCUCCUAUCAUUCCACGAAGCGUUAGUUUCUGGACACUGAUUUGCUGGACUGUAUUUAAGGUAACAUCUCAGAGCACAAAUAGGGAAGCUAUCUUUCCGAAAGACUUUCUCCUCAGCUGUAAGGGGCCUCAGGAAACGGCACAGUCCUGGCAAGCCCUGCGUCCUUCCCAGAUCCUACUCAUCACCACCUCUGCAUCAUUACUGGGCUGGAGAAUAAGAGGAAUAUGCAAAUCUGCCUGUACAGCUUGCCUUUAGGCAGAAGCGAUCUCCAGAGCCCUCAAGCCAUCUGCCAUGGUCAAGAUUAAAUGAGAAGAAGCUCAGGGGCAGAGACCUUUCCAUUCCCAGAGCUUAGCAUUUGGCGUUAGUUCCCAGAUCUUGUUGAUUUCCAGAACACUCAGCACUAACUGUCCUUCAUAUCCACCACGUGGCGCACUCACAGCUUCUUCCUGCCCCUCCUAGGAAAGCUCAGUGAAGUUCGCAUUUCUCCUUUGGAAUUGUCUCCCUAGUGACCAGGAGAGCGGUAGCUCAGAACAGCCACUCAGUACUUCUUGACCUAAUCGUCAUCAGCAAGGCCUCAUACCCGUUUAAAGGUUGAAUGAAACAUAUCUACCAGACACACCAACAUAUUAACAUGAGUGCCUCUGACCUAUAAGAGGCGGUAGGGAGAGUUUGGCAAAGUGUGUUCAUGUAAACCAUGAAGGAAAAUGAUUUAUGACACUCCUCAGAUGCAUCAAACUAGAGGCAAUAGCUGAUAGUACUCAGCAGUCCAAAGGAUAAGUUUGCAAAGGGUAGGUCCUUGAAUGGCAACAGCAAGCAGGGAUGCCUACUAAUGUCACAGCAAACAUGUGACAACAGCAAGGACCAAACUCCUGCUCCCACUGAAAUGUGGGGCUUGUUUGUUAUGGAAGCAUGGUCUAGCCCACCCUUGCUGAUACAUACACCAUAAGACUUAGAAUGCUACCUUGAAGGGGACAAUACUAUACUAUUCUAUACUCCAUUUACUGACAUCCUAAAGUUACAAGACAAAGACAGCCCCGCUCCCCAAGCAAAGAAUACAUGCAAACUCUUCAAGACCCUUGAUCCAUAUCUGCCUUCAAUAAAGUAUAAAAUAAUUAAUGGCUAUUUGCAGCAGAUAUCAAAUUGUUUAUCAUCCAUCAUCAGGGUUUUCAAUCUUUAUUGUAAGGUGAAUCCUUCCUGCAGUGUCAUCCCCAGUAACCAUUCAUAGAAACAGGAAGGAACCUUGGAGGUCAACUGCAUUCUCCAGUUGAUACUUGUCACUCUGCCACUAAAAUUCUGAUUCUGCAUUUCCCUGGGUCGCCUCUGCUCAUCACUUGAACUCACUAAUCGUUCUGUCUCACCUGCACACAUCUUGCUCCCAAACAUAGACACUGUUUGGUUCCUCCAGUAGCCAAAUCUGCCCACACUCCUGCAGUGUGCAGUAAAAGACCCACUCCCGCCAGAGCUAAGAUACAUCUCAUGGGGAUUCUGGAGUUGCCUGUCUUCUUCCCCCUGUAAGUAGCAAACGUCUUUUUGCUUUGUGGCUCACAUGGUCCUCCUCAAGAUCAUUCGAUACCUGCUGCAGCGUAAGCAAUUUUAGACAUCACACGUCACAUGUACUCUGGUAAAAUAUGAUAUAUGGAAUACAGGGAGCCUCACUGGACAGCAUCCUGGUCUCUGGCUUGCUGAGCCUUGGAUUAUAGUAUUCUAGUCUGCUUAUUGUUGUUUUGAUAAAGACAAUGAGGGAAAGCAGCUUGGGUGUGGAAAGGGUUUAUUUCGUCUUACAACUCAUGGUCUAUCACAGGGAAAGUUAGGGCAGUAACUCAAGCAGGAACCUGGAGGCAGGAGGCAGCAUCCCUUCAUAGUCUUUGCAAGCUGAGCUUGCCUGCCAUAAUUGUUUAGCUUACUUUCUUAUACCAUCCAGGCGACCUGCCCAGAGGUGGAACUGCACAUGGAUCAAGUAAAUGUCUCACAGACUUGCCCAGAGCCCAGUCUGACAGGAGAAGGAGCCAUUUAUGUGCGUUUGAAGUCCAGGAGGAAAAGGGUCAGAAACACAGGCAAGCAUGCAAGCUGGUGUGCACCGCUCUCUGUGUCUGUUUAUUAUGGCCGUCAGGCCUCCCAGGGAAACCAACACACAGUUGGCUGGAGAAGCCACAGCUGAAUACACUCAGGCGAGGAUUCCUGGGAGCCAUCAUUUCCACUGUAGGUUGAAAGUCAGAUAUUUUGUGUGGCUCUCAGCUCCUAGUUGCUUCUUGCUUUUUGAAAAAGAGGAAGUCAACAAAAUGAGCAAGUUAUUUCCAAGUGGAGUGCCUUCCUCCAGCUCAGAGGUCUAUGGAAAUUACAAAGUCCAGGGAAAGGAGCCUUGUUCAGAAGUUCCAAAUGUUCUUGGAGUGGUUUUUACCAGUCCUGAAAGAGCCCCACGUGACUCACGGAGCAGGACUGGAAUAGCCCCACGUGACCCAUAGAGCUAUCACCAAGUUACCUUAUUUGAGACUUUUAAUCCAAGCAGUUUAUAAACACAGGAUGCUUUCCAAAAGUGUUCCUCCCUUUCUCUCCCAUUUAUGGAAACAAAAGCAAAUGUUUUACAAGGGCAGAGACACUGAACUCUUCUUCUUUUGCUGGAUGCCUGAGGAGCCCUGGGAAAGUAUGGAGUAGGUAGAGAGGGAGGAAGAAACUGGACCCUGGCCAAGCUGGCCCUGCUGCUUAAUGGUGCCCCAGAUGUCUGAAGCAGCCUCAACAGAUGGGCCAGCGCUCUUUGUUUGAAUUUGAAAUUAUAAGUAGAAACAUAAGGCAGAUGUUUGCCUCCCUCAAAGGGAAGAAUAUUAAGAAGGAAGGCAUUUAGAGAAUAAGGAAGCCAAAGCCAUUGUCCUAACUUGCAUUGAAGUUUCUCAUUCAAAUCCCCAUUAGGAAACUGCCCCUCUCUAGUCAGAAGUUAGGGCCAUCGCUACCUUCUUUUGAUGGUUAAUGUAAGCUACCAACGUGGUUCGAUUAGUCAUCUAAGAGGCAUUCCUCUGGGCAUGACUAUAAGAGCAUUACUAGAGAUUUUUAACUGAAUACAAACCUACCAUGAUUGGGGGGCUCGGGACUAUCCAGAGUCUGGGGCUCUAAAUGGAAGUAGGCAAGAAAAUGAGCUGAGUACGAGCAUUCAUUUCUUCCUGCUUCCUGACUGCGGAUGCGCUGUGACCAGCUGCUUCAAGUCAAUGACCACAGCGCUCUCUCUACCCCAGACAGCCUUCCAUGUCAAAAUAAACUCCUUUUCCUUAGGGUGUUUUCAUCAUAGUGAUGGGAAAAAGAAAGAUAACCAAUACAUUGACCUUGUUUGUGGGUGACAGAGGAGACCCUCUGCCAAUUCGAUCUUGGGUUGACACCCUGGAGAGAUUUUCUAAAAGGAUAGUGUGCCCUCCUUUGGCUAACAACACACUGUAGAAACAGUAGGAAUUGAACCUUGGUGGUCAGGCCUGGUGGAAAGGACCCUUUACCCACCGAGUCAUUUUGCUGGCCCAGGGUGUGGAUUUCAGAGGUUAAUAAAUAAGAUCAAGACAGAGUGGCAUCGUUGUGGGUUAGCAAUGAGGCCUCUCUUAAAAAGAACUCCUGGAGGUCUUGCAUGGGCCCCUCUCUUCCCAACAGGCAGACUACUCUGAUUGCUAAAUGAAUUCUUCAGGGUCUAACAUGACAAAAUCUUUAUUGUUUUAAUGAGCGAGUCUUGGGUCUUUUGAUUCCAAUAGCGUCUGCAGAUGUAGGCUGUGGGAGUUUAUGUACUGCCUCAGGAGUGGUACUGUACCAAGCUCUGGCCUGCAGCUUGAUUCUGCUUGAGGGUACAGAUUCCUGUGAUCUUCCUCCAUUCACUUCAGAGAAAAGGCGAGCUGUAAAGCUGUUUUCAGAAAGACUACAGGAUGCUGGGACCACAGACCUAGUACGGUAUCUCUCAAGAUGACAGGAUCCCUAAGAGGUGGGAAUGACUAUGUCAAAGUUGGCUGUGCUUUAUACCUGGUGCACAGGUUUGUUCUCCAACACCAUACACGAUACAUCCUUCCUCUUUAUGGUAGUGCUGCCUCUGGACCCCACUUGACACUUCUUGGUGGUCCACUGAGGUUGAACUUGCUUUGAGACACAUUCUUCUUCUCCCUCCUGAUGUUCAGACUUGACUGGACCAUCAAAAGGCAGUUGCUUUACCCGUUCAUCCUUUCUCCAGACCAUCUUAUGAGAUCUGGCACUUUUCCUCUUGCUUGGCUAAAUGAUGACUGGACAAGGACAUCACAUCCAGUUCAGCAGAGUACAGGACUUUCCACUUGUUCCAGAAAAGAGGUGGGGAAAUAAUCCUACUCUCUUUGUUCUAGGUAAUUUUUAUCUCAAAAAAUUGUGUGUGUGUGUGUGUGUGUGUGUGUGUGUGUGUGUGUGUGUGUGUGCAUGUGGUGUUGGGUAAGGAUCGAGCUGAGUGUGAUGUCUUUGGGACAAGGAGAAGUACAUGACUCCCAUCUAGAAGGUUCAAUAAAGGCAUAAUCUGAGAGGUUAUUUCAUGCCAGACUCUUGAGAAAGAUGACAGAGAGCCAAGCACGUAGCACACCACAGUAGCACACAGCAGGGAGCAUUCCCUGCCUUGACUAGCAGAAGAAAAAUGAGAUGUUGUUGCACAAGGUCCUUUUGGAGUGAGAGUUAGAACACUGGGGAGUACGGUUUGCACUCCCCAGGAAGCAGCCAGGAAAGACUCAGCCUUAGAAUUCGAGUGUGGUUCUCGGAGACAAUGUUAAGCACCGGGCCACUUACUUGCUUAUAUCCCAGCUGUGGGAUUGCCAGUGACCACCCAUUUUACAUGACUAGAUGGCGGUUGCCAUAAGAAGCUAACAAAUCCUGAUGCAAGGGGCAGCUAGCAUGCCACUCCAGUGUCUCCCUCCCUCCUUGUGGGUUAUCUUCCAUCCCAGAAUAAAUCCUGAAAAUUUCAGUCUCCCAAUCUCAGCUGAAGCAUCGCCGUGAUAUGCUUCUCUACAAUCAGCUAAGAUCUAAUAACAACGACUAUAAAAUAUCAAGUAUCCAUAAACUGCUUGCUACAAAAACCAUGAGGAACUUUGGAGAGAUGGCUUAGUGGUUAGGAGCCCUGGCUACUCUUGUUAGAGGACUGAGGUUCAAUUCUCAGCACCCACAUGAUGGCUCACACCAUCUGUAACUAGUUUCAGAGAAAUCGAAUGCCCUCUUCUGGAUGCUCUUGGUACCAGGUGUGUGAGUGGUACACAGGCAUACAGGUAGGCAAAAGACCCUACACAUAAACAAAAUAAAAUAAAAUAAUAAGAAACUAAGGAAUCAAGAAUGGGCAGGGUGAACGUGGGGAACAUGGGUAAUAAAAACAUUGAAUCUUGAUAGAAAUUCUGAAGUAACUUAAACAACAGAACCUGUGUUGAGCUGGAUUCUGAGUGAAGAUUGAUGGCUAGAGACAGGGGCAUUACUUGUGUCCCAGGUAGACAGAAAUUCAUGAAUCUGAAGCCUCCAGAUGUAAGAAGUAAACAGAGGGCUGGCUCUGGAAAGAGUCACGUUCUCCAUGACUUACUUGUGUGUGGGCCUUGGUGAUACAGGAUUGUUAGGAGAACAGCUCUUAGAAUGAUCGUAGAAUCAUUCACCUGAAGUUGACUACGCCAGUCCACUCACAGUGCGAGAAUGGCUGAUUGCAAGGCUGUGGGAAACUCUAAUUAUUAGGAGGCAAAUUGAUUUACUGUCCUCACAAAUGUGUCUCCUCCUUGUAACUUCUCAGGAUGAGAAAUGACUCUUUGAGAGGAAAAAAAAUAGAGCUUUCCUCAGCAUGCAAAGGGUGAACCAGGAGCGGAUUAGUGAAGGGCAACUACAUCAGAGAGAGCCCGGAGCCAAGGGCAGUCACGUUACCCAACACUGCCACCAGAGCGCUCGCUCUGGUUCUAAUGAUUUAUUCAGCAUUUGAAACAUCCAGCUCUCUUCAAAUAUUUAUAACACUUCCUGGUUGCUUUGAGGCUUUUAAUAGGGCAGAAUAAAUCUGUAAGUAUUGAAAAAUUGUCAGCAAAUGGGCCAUAGUGUGAAUAACCGAAACGCAAGCUGUAAGGCUGUAGCCAUUUGCUUUAUUUUGGCCAGAGAAAAAUGUUGCAAUAAUCUUUUCCCAGCAUCACUGCUUUGGAUGAGUUUGCCUCUGAGUUUCAUUAAUCAGGGGCUCUUUAAUUACGUGAUAAAACUCCAUUGACAGGAUGAUGCUCUGUCCACUCAGCAAAAUGUUAAGAGAGCUGAUAUUUGUCUUUCUCUGUGUGCUGUUCUCACUCAGCCCAAGGCCUUGAUGGUGCCCUAAAGUCAAGGAGGGUUUCCCCUCAUCAGUCCGACCUCUUUGGAAAGAUCCUUGCAGGUGUAUGUCUCCUAAGUCUACUUAAGUUGAUGAAGAUUGGAGAUUGUCCCUCCACUGUGUGUGCCCCUCUGUCUCUAAUUCAUGUGCUUCGCAGGAUGACUGACCAUGUGACCGUCUUCGGGUCAGUCGGAAUGCAGAAUGCCCAUAGUUACUGUUCUGUUUCUUCUAACAUUCACCUUUCUAUAACUUUCCCACAUGGCUAAGGCACUACUACUCAGCUUGGGGGAAAAUAUAAUCUCCUUCAAUCUUACCCCCAUCUUGUCUUUAAGUCAUUGACUUAGUUAUGUCUCUUUUCCCACCCCUACAGAACUUGAUGAAAGAGAUACCUUGUCUUAACUGUGGAUCUAUUUGCAUCCCUUUCUUUCUGUGUUUGUGGGUC